rnacentral:rRNA from 1 species
UACGAACUGUGCGAACGUUAUUCGGAAUCACUGGGCUUAAAGGGUGCGUAGGCGGUCAUCUAAGUCACGUGUGAAAUCUUCUGGCUCAACCAGAAAACUGCGCGUGAAACUAGUUGACUUGAGUGAGGUAGGGGUGUGUGGAACUUCCGGUGGAGCGGUGAAAUGUGUAGAGAUCGGAAGGAACGCCAGCAGCGAAAGCGGCACACUGGGCCUUUCUGACGCUGAGGCACGAAAGCUAGGGAGUGAACGGG